UACGUAGGGGGCAAGCGUUGUCCGGAUUUAUUGGGCGUAAAGAGCGUGUAGGCGGCCAUGCAGGUCCGUUGUGAAAACUCGAGCUCAACCUCGAGACGCCGAUGGAAACCGCAUGGCUAGAGUCCGGAAGAGGAGAGUGGAAUUCCUGGUGUAGCGGUGAAAUGCGCAGAUAUCAGGAAGAACACCCGUGGCUAAGGCGGCUCUCUAG
rnacentral:rRNA from 1 species